AGUGAACGCUGGCGGCAGGCCUAAUACAUGCAAGCCGUGCGAGAAAGUUCUCUUCGGGGAGCUAGUAAAGCGGCGCACGGGCGAGUAACACGUAGGUAAUCUACCUCUAAGUCCGGAAUAACCAGCUGAAAGGCUGGCUAAUGCCGGAUAAGACCACGGCCUCUGCGGGGGCCGCGGCCAAAGGUGGCCUCUUCAUGAAAGCUAUUGCUGAGAGAUGAGCCUGCGUACCAUUAGCUAGUUGGUGAGGUAACGGCUCACCAAGGCUGUGAUGGUUAGCUGGUCUGAGAGGAUGACCAGCCACACUGGGACUGAGACACGGCCCAGACUCCUACGGGAGGCAGCAGUGGGGAAUAUUGCGCAAUGGGGGAAACCCUGACGCAGCGACGCCGCGUGGGUGAUGAAGGCCUUCGGGUCGUAAAGCCCUGUCGUAGGGGAAGAACUGGUUGCAGGCUAAUAUCCUGCAGCCUUGACGGUACCCUACAAGAAAGCACCGGCUAACUCCGUGCCAGCAGCCGCCGUAAGAC
rnacentral:rRNA from 1 species